CCAUGUAGUUGCACUUUUUUUUUUACCAGACUGCCCACUACUCCCAACUCCAGCUGCCAACUGGUCCUCCUGUACUGGCCCGCACAAGAGAUUUACAAAGAUGACACAGACAAAGAACACAGGGAAUCCAUCCUGAACCUGCCAGCGAGGUGGUGGUGGUGGUGCGAAAGCCCAAAACUGUGGUGAAAAGAUGUUUGCACUCCACGCUUUACAGGGCUUUCACAGGACCACUUCCAGAUCCUGACAUCCUGGCAUCGGGAGAAAAACCACCAGCUGGAGUCCCAACCACUUAUCACACUUAUCCUAGAGAUGGUCUCUCAGCUUUGGAGCUGGUACCAUCCAGACUUGGGCCUGUGCCACAGGGCUCACUGAGGUCUCACCAGUGCCCACCUGUGAAGUCCUGCGCAGCAUCAUUCUGCACCACAUGGCUCCAGACCUCCCUGCUCUUCCAUCGAUGCUGCAUAGUCUUCCCAACAUGUGUUUUGUGGCCACACUCGAUCAACUUAUGCACCUUCAGUCUUUGCAAGUGUCACAUGAAGUACAGGCCAGAACCAGGGAGCAGUCCAGAUGUCCUGCGUGGGCUGGGCCAGAUUUUAGCAGGGGCUUACCGGGGCUGCAGCCCGGGGCCCCGGCAUUUCGGGGGCCCCGAAGGAUGUUUUAUGUUUUUGUGAAUUGAUAGUGUCAGAAUUUAAUCAAUGACUAUGAUGAUUUUGACAGCACCGAUGAAAAAUGUUCCAAUUUGUUCUGUCAAACGUCCAUCUUUAAUGCUUGCUUGUUAUUGGUCCACUUUUGACGCAUCUUACGCAUUGCGGAGGAGCGUCAGGGAAUAUUAUUUUGCAAUGGCGGACAACAGAAAAUAUGACAGUGGAGCGCAGAAAAGAAGAAA